rnacentral:lncRNA from 1 species
UUAGGUUACGCGGGGAAUUGCUGAGAAGGCGGGGGAAAUUGCUGAGAAGGCAGUGCCUCUAGAAGACGGUGAACCAUUCACCGUCUUCAAGAGGUUAGACUAAAGACGGUGAACGAGUCACCGUCUUUGUGAGAAAUGCUGAUGUGGCGGCUGAGGUGGCGAGAGGAGGGUUAGUUUCACAAAUAAAAGUUUCACAGGGUUAUUUUGCCAAUUACGAAAUUUCAGAGGGUUAUUUUCGAAAAAAGUCCUAGGUAUCUCCGAAUCUUCAUAUCGUAAAGUAGUAAGGUAAAAUUGCAUUCUUAGCCCCUAUACUAUGUUGAUUUUGCAACUUAAUUCUGUACCUAAGUAAAAAAAAUAGGACUGUUUCGUUGAAUUUAGUUGCAAUCGUACUACAGUUAUAAUUAUAUUCAGAUCUAUAUUCAAUAUUUAGUUUAAUGUAUUUGAAUUCAUCUGCAUGAGGAGGCCCAAUACAACAAUUAAAAUUACCACCAAAUUAGCCGCAGUUCUAAAUACAACGGUUGAAAAAAAUAAUUUUAAACAAAAAAUAAACUAACCUCUAAAAUAAUUUUUUAAACAGAAAAUACUUUUCUAUUCUAUAUUGGAGGUAAUGCACUAUAAACUAGCUUAUAUAUAAUGUAAUAAUAUUUAAAAAAAGACAAAUCUUAAUUGCAUGCCACUAAGUAAAUUAUUUAUAAUUGUUGUAUUUUCUAACACAUCCAGAUGCAUUUAGUUAUAACUAUUGUAUUUUUUAAUUGCAUAUAUUUUUAACUGUAUUGUAUCUUAUUAUGUACAAUUACCAAGUGUUUGGUACUUUUAAAAAUAUUUGGUGUUUGUGUGCAUGUUGGGUUGAAUUAGUUUGAAAACUUUAGUUCAGAAAUUUUAGUUCAAAUUAGUUAUGUAUGUGGCUAGGUGUUUGUGGAUAUGUGAAAAUUUUAGUUCAAA